UAGCGGCGAGCGAACGGGGAUGAGCCCAGAGCCUGAAUCAGCAUGUGUGUUAGUGGAAGCGUCUGGAAAGGCGCGCGAUACAGGGUGACAGCCCCGUACACAAAAGCGCAUAUGCUGUGAGCUCGAUGAGUAGGGCGGGACACGUGGUAUCCUGUCUGAAUAUGGGGGGACCAUCCUCCAAGGCUAAAUACUCCUGACUGACCGAUAGUGAACCAGUACCGUGAGGGAAAGGCGAAAAGAACCCCGGCGAGGGGAGUGAAAAAGAACCUGAAACCGUGUACGUACAAGCAGUGGGAGCCCCACCACUAAGCCAGUGGUGAACUCCACAUACGCAUCCUUUGCUGAGGAUGCGGUUAACGGAGCGAAAGCGACGUUCAACCGCAAAAGAAGCAGAGGGGGCUUAGUGGUGGGGUGACUGCGUACCUUUUGUA
rnacentral:rRNA from 1 species